GAGCUCUUCUGGAGAUCCCUCCUCUGGAGUUUUGCAGCGAGCCCAGGGUGUGGGCAGGGGGCAGAAUCUAAUCUUCUACUAUGCCAGGACUGAUUCCUGCCAUUUACUAUUGAAAGAAACUGGAGGUCGGCUGAGUUCUCAAGCUUAUCAAGUUUCCUCCUCGUCUCUAAGAAAGGCUCUGACUUGUGGCACAUUGGCUGAAAAAAACCAGCUGUCUUCCACUGAAGCCCAGAUUCACUAUUGCUGAUCCUUCUUAAGAUAAAACGAGGCAGAAGACUUCAAACAAAUUCUGAGCACUCCCCCCUAUUCUUCAUGAAUCAUGGCAUAAUAUGGAGAAGAUUUGAAGCCACGGACAAGAUCUGACAGAAGGCAGAGAAAGAUUGAGAAACCUGCUGCAGCUUCAUGAAUGGAUGGAAUGCUUCAGAGCUGCGCUGUAUCUCUCUCAUCACCAAAAUCCAAUAAAUGCACUGGGGAAGGAGGCUGUUGCACUGUCCAGCUUCUUGGAAGCCUCUUUGAGUUUAGCAAUAAGAUGGAAUUGACAUUUAAAUUAAAAUCACAUUUACUGGAUACUCUUAUUUGUAUGCUAAUUUGCAGAUGGGAAAUGCAGUGCCUCCCUGCUCAUCUCUGUGUUAUCAGAGAGGGAAGACCUGAUUUCUGGCAUGCUCUACUUGCUCUGUGCUAAGGCCAGAUAGUUCUUACAGCUCUUCCCCAGCUGUGGGCAGCCCAGUGCCUGCCGAAGUUGGUCAGGCUUCUUGCACUCACUGUUGCUUCCAGAAGUAUCCAGUUGUUAUUGUGGGUCAGGGGUGCUGACCCUGCCUUGGGUUCAGAGGUGAAUGAUGGGCAGGAAACAGGCCCCCAGUUGGGAGGAUUUGGCAUACCUGGACUGUGUUGUGGCUUAGUGGGAGCCUGCUGCUGCUGCAGAGCUGGAGCUGUCCCAGGGGCUUUGACAGGGUUUGGUGCCCAUGCAGUGAAGGCUGAGCUGUAGGUGGGCUGCAGAUGUUGAGCAAUGGAGCUCCCAGCCCUUCCCAGGGACAGCUUCUGUCUCAGUAACUCCUGCGCUCCAUGUUCUGCUGGACAUUGGAGUUGCUGAGGCAAGUGCUCAACUGCUGAAAUAAUGCAUGUUGGUUAAAAACCCAAAGAAAAACUGCAGUAAAAUUCCUCACUUUGAGAAAUUCUUUGUAAAGCAGGUUGCCAGAGGGAUAAUGGCAGCUUCAAAAUGGUGGUGAUGUGUCAUGGGUUUCACCCAAUCUCCUGAUUCCACAUGCAGCUCUGCCAUGAAGUAAUUGGUGCAAACCAUCUUGCACAGGUGGGGAUAUUACUGCUGCGCCCUUUAAACUCAGGUCAAGUGGAGGAAGCCUAGUUGCAGUGGCUGAUCUCACACACUGCACAACUUAGAAAAAGCUGAGGGUACAUAGGAAGCAUAGCUUGGAGCUCAGUUCUUUCCAAAAGAUAAGCUCCUGAGCUACAGAUAAUUACUAGUGCUCUCUUCUCUUUUUAUGGCAUCUUUUAGAUUAGGCUGUAGAAACAGUCUGCAUAUGCUUUAAAGAUUAAAAUCAAUGAGUGUUUCUUGGUGUGGCCAAGUUAAAAAUAACAAUGAAAUGAAAGCUGGAGGUGCUUGCUGUGAGUCAGUGCAGGGGUGCCAGUCUGCCACUUGGGAUUGUCACGUAGCUGCCUUGGGACGUGGCACUGCUUGGGAGUGGUGGCAGGUUCCACCAGACUGACAAAACUUCAGUAUCUGUAAUUAGUAACAUCUGCAUCCUACAUAUUUUCUGGUUAUUCUGCACUGAAUAAAGAAGAAAAACAAAGUAUAUCCUUGAACAAACUCACAGGAGAGGCCAAGUUAGGAUGGGGUUGCCGGUCCUUGUGGAAAGAGGACUAGAGUCUCCUAUUGUUCUGAUAUCAUAGGAAAAGAUCUAAGUAAGGUAGCUGCAGGGCAAUUGAGUAAGGAAGAUGAAGCAACAUACUUACACAAGAAAAUGAAGAAAUCCUAACUUGGAAGUUACUGGCAUAAGUAAAUGCAUUGAUAAAUACAGAAAUCAGUCACUGAAAUAAUGGCAAAAUUUUCUUCUACUGGUUCACAAGUAUGGAAGUUAGUGCGUAUUUUGUAAAAGACAAACUUACCUUCAUUCCAAGCUCUGACAAAUCUAAGCUUCUUAAAUUUCAGCAUAGUUUCUUUUAAUGAAAAGACCCAAGGUUUUCUUCGGUUUAUUUGCUUCAGAGUGAUUUCAUUCGUUCUAGCUGUAUCAAUUCAUUGCUUCCAUUUAAUUUAUUAAACUACUCUCAGCAUACGAUCGUGAGAUGUCACGCCGUUACCGUUGACUGCCAACAGAGGGCAGUAACGAUCACUUUACCUCGAAUGGAAAUCGAUAUGGUUGACGUGCUGGUACAGACCUCACUCCUUUUGCAGGUGCCUCGUUUCAGAAUAACCAUAGCAAUGAGAGCACCUUUGCUAUUUCAGCAUGAUUAUGAUACAGCACCAUGUCUAGCAUAAUAGCAUCUGGAACAUUAAACUCAAGCACAGCUCCUGCAGAGAAGAGAACCUCCUGGUCUGGGCAGGAAUAAGAAUCCACACAGGUCAGUGUCAGCCUGAUGACAGCACAACUUUACCAGCUCCCCAUUCUGGCUUGCAUGUCUAAGUUCCCAGCUGGUACAGGACAAAAAAAGACAAGACGGAUAACACAUGCUUGCCUCCAGCAGACAAACAAGUCUCAGAAGUUGGCGGCUUCAGUCCGCUGGCACUGACAGCACAGAGAUUCUCACUGAGCAGAUUUUUUAACAGUCCUCAUUGCACUGAACAAACAUAACGCAGAACCUGAACACACAUUCCCACCCUUCACAGCACUGUAACUUGUGCACUUUCCUUGAUAUCUCUAUUUUAAGACUGAUGGGUAACUGAAAUGUAAUGAAAUCCACUGUCAUCUAGAAGGAUGAAGGAAAAAUACAGAUCCUCUUCUAAAGAGAAAACCAAGCAUUAAUUCAUUUCUGGUCAAUACCAGAAGCUGAUUUUGCGUCUCAUUCAGACUUUGGCCAGUGUGUUUUCCAGCUCUAGGAUGAGCACAGUUCUUCAAAAUAACAGUAAUAAUACGGAAAAGCAGGUCAUAUAACACGUUAUUUUGGAGAACUGCUUAGCCAGCACAGGUUUAAGACUCCAAAUAGCCUUUCAUUUUCCCAGAAGUUGAUUUUUAAAAAGCCUAAUAACAAAACCAGACCAAAAAUGACUCUUUCAUAUCUACAUUAGAUUUUUGUAGACUCCUUCUUCCCCAUGUACACACUUAAUUCAUCAAACCAACGACAGGGAAAGAGUUGCUUUUGAUUCCACUAGAAUUCAAGAAGUCUGCUAGUGAGUUCCAGAGUGUUAGGAAUGCUUCCUGAAUUUAGGCAAAAGAAAAGCUGUUGCUUUCUUAGACUUGAACCAGGGAAAACCAACUGCAACUGCCUUUAGCAAAAUAAAAAAAGUGUUGCAGAACUGCAUUUGAAAUUGCAGUUUUAAUGUCAUGCAAUCCACACCUCUUGCAAGUCAUGUCUAACCCACAGUACUGAUUAGGACGACAUCUCAGAAUAUAAAAAUAAAACAUCCCAUUAAAUAGAUACCAAGACAAUUUCAUAUGACAAAAAUAUGGAGGUAUUAAGAAGUUCUUCUUUGUGUGCAGCAUCUGCUAUUUGUCAAGGCAAUGAUCUUCUCUGGAUUCAAAAUGUGCAAUUCUAUGCGCCCAAGGCAGAGGAGGUUGGAACUGGAUGAUCUCUAAGGUCUCUUCCAACCCAAAUCAUUCUUUGAUCCUGUAACUCUCAUAAAUCAAGGAUUUAUCCCAGCCAGACUCCCUUACCAGUGCUAAAACAAAUUCAUAGUUUAAACUAUCAAGCCUCUCCAUGUGAAUCGGUGUAUAUUUUCAAAGAAAAUAAAAAAAAGCUGCAACUCAUCCUAUCUUGCAGUCAUAUGAUGGCUCUGUACUUCAAACACUCACAGCAGGCUUUGUACUAGGACCCACAUUAAGCAGCAAUUAAACAAUUAAACAAUUUCAUGGCAGAUGCUUCCACAUUCUUCACAGGCUGCAUUAAAUUUGCUGUGAUGUAAAAGCUGGAAAGUUCUUCAUUCAGUUCAGAGCCUGACGCUUAAGUGGCUAUCAGUGACUGACUAAUAAUACCAAGCAAAGGAGAUCUGCUUUUUGAUGUUUAAACAUACAGAACAAGAUACGCCCCAAAUCAGAAGCUUUUGUGCAGUUACGGUCUUGAUACUUAAAUUCACUUUCUAAAGUCCAAUAAUAUACUCCCUGUGCUUCUUCCCUGGUCUGCUACAGCAGCUCUUGCUCAUCAUCUUCAGAGCCCGAAGGUCCUUGUCGUACCUCUUCAUACCAUUUGUUUGUGAGAGUUUUCAUCUGUAUGCGCCCAUGAUGCAAGUCCUAAGGCACAAGAAAACAUUGUCGCUGAGGUACAAUACAACUUGUUAGAGUGCAAAACAGAAUGAUGAGUUAAGUGUACUUCUCACAAAAUAAUCUGCUUGUGAUCUUUAAGUGUACAAAACAUGUCAAAUGCUCAGCUAUUAAUUACUUCCAGGGACGAUACUUUGAGACAUUUUCUUUGUUUCCUACACAGUCUUCCUCUGUGGAUUUCAACAAUUAGAGUUGUCUAGAAGGCAGUGUUUUUGAAUCUCACUCCUCUCAACAUGUUCCCAUAGACAGCAGGAAGCUUGUGACCUGCUUUGGCAAUUCACGUACUUUUCUACCAUUUGGUUGCAGUCUUGAUGGCAGCCUGUGUUUUUGGCUACCAAUUACAAAUCAAAUGCCAUUUUUUGAUUUCUUGAUUCAUUCCUUGUUUUGCAAAAUAAAAAAAAAUUAAAACCCUUUGGCUUUUGUGGAAAAGUGUUCAGAGUUUGAAUAUACAAACACAAAGUCUUUAACCUCACAGCAAAAAUGCUUAAUUCAAAUUGGAGAGGAAAACAAAAAGUGAAUUACGUAGCCAAGGAAUAUCAGGCUUCUGAGGCCUGGAGUGAAAAUAGCAUAGUAUUCACACCUCUGAGCUUAACUCAGUGUUAAGCUGUGUGUUCAGCCAGGUGUCAUUUUGCAUUUACAGCUUCAGACUCUUCAUCUCAUAGUGAAGAAAUAUUAAAAAAAAAAAAAAGGUUGCAAUUUCAAGAAUGGCCUAUUUUUGGCUAUAGUUCCAAGCAAAAGGCUGUGCUAGGCAGAAAAAUCCAUUUAAUCCACCAGCGAUUGUGCAGUGCGGCUUUUAAUUACAGCUGCUCUACAUAUGCACAAGGUAAGGUGUUAGAUGGCUCACUACCCCUUGUGUAGAAGUUGUAUAGUUGUACUGUGAUCCUUGAAUGGUACAGAGUGAAAUAAGAGCCAACUCCACCACAGUUUUGCUUCAAGAAAACAAGACAGACUUACUUCUUGUGUGAGUCUUCUGGUGAAGAAAGGAUUCAAAUACUUAGCAUCCAGCCACAUAAAUCCUUUGAGGUCCUGGCGUUUUAUGUACUGGGCUUCAUAUUCCUCCUCUGUGAGCUCUGAUAAAUGCUCGGAUUCUAUGGUAUUUCCCUAGAAACAUCACAAAUAUUGCAAUAGCCUGAGAAAAAAUAGUUAUUCCCUCCCACUUGCUUCACCGCCUUAUGCUGUCUCUUUUUUCAGUCAAUUCCCAUGACAGAACAAAAUAGAAAUAAUCACCUCAGCCUACCAGGGCUUACAGCUGCAUGAAUCUGUCCAGCUGUUGAUUCCCAGAGUCACUUACCUUCCUUUUUCAUGCCAAAAGGCUUAAAAUACUCCAUGGUUUUGUACUGUUGUUAUUGCUAAGGGAUUUCUAGUGCACAAGCUUCCUCAUACAAUCUAAGCAAUGAGUACAUAUAGCAAACAAUACUUUUGUGUCAUCAUCUCACUGGAAAAGAAAAAGCCCUAUAUCAGAGCACUCCAUGCUACCUGCACUCUUCCCAUACACAUUCACCUCCAUAGACAGAAUAAGCUAAUUCUGAAGACUGAAGACUUUAUAAAGCCUCAUUCCAAGAGAAGUUGUUUUUCAGAUCCACAGAACAAUUCUCUGCAUGCAUUGUGUUAUGGCUUGGGACCAAAAGAAGAAAAAGCUUCAUGAUACUUUAUGUACUCCUGUCUUCAACAGAUGAAUUUUCAGACUAGACAUUAGUUUUCUUCAGUAUUUCUGACUAUUUUAAAGCCAGAAUCUGCCUUAAAAUAAAACCCAGUCACAGUGGUGCUGCUGCUACCAACUUAUUGAGGCCUUUGCUUUGACUUUUUCAAAAUCUGCCUUCUAUUAUUAAUUCCUGACUCACAAUAUACUAGCUCAUUUCUGUCUGUGACUCAAUCUAUCCUGUAGCAUCUGCCUUAUGUUUUAAGGUUACUUUAAUUUGUAUGGGUUCAUUUAUAAUUAAAAUGACUUAAGAGACAAAGCUUCUCACCCCUUUGUCUAAGCAGUUACUUGUGUACAUGCUAACCAAGCUCUCUGGGAUACUUUAAAUACUAUUUGGCUUUUUUCUACCAUGCCUCCACUCAUUUUGUUUUACUUUUUAGUGAAAAAAAAAAAAAAUCAUACUAGUCUUCCUGAAAAUGAAAAAAAUAAUUGUCUGAAUAGAACAACAAUAUACCAUUUUCUCUGUCUUGCUAAGAUUAAUGUCCUUUUUGUUCCUCUUGCGUGCUUUGGAGUCUUCAAUGUCAAUUAGUCUGAUAAGGGGCAUAGUUCCUCCUCCCAACAGCAAAACCGUGAACAGCACUAUGAUGAUUGUAGUUGUUCCAAUGAGCUGACGCUUCUCUAUUGGUUCCAAGCCCAAAUGGAGGCUGAGUGCAUAGGGAAUUGCACCACGUAAACCUGCAGAGAGAACAAUAAAUCGGCGAAGAGUGAAUCAGCACCGAUGCUGGUCCCUAGCACUCUGUUAACUCAACAGGAGUCCUCCACUUUCAUGGCUUUUAUGAUCCUAUUCUCUGCUCAUUUAUCUAUUACUUGUUUAUAAUCUUAAAAUGAAUCAGAGGUACCGCUUUUCAAACUGAGCUGUUUGAUUUUUAGAAAACUAUAUUCUUUGAAGAAAAGUUUUACUUGGGAACUAUACUGCAUUGUUUUCCUAAACAGAAGGGAAAGAGAAAGUAUCAGUUGCACUUGGAUUUGAGAAUGGUGCAAGUGUUAAGUUUUCCAUGGAUGGAAAACCAGUUCCUCCCAAACAAGCCCACACAAAGAAAGAGAGAUAAAACAUUUUCUCCAGUCCUCCAUAGCUUGAGUUGUAACUUACCACUAAACCACAUGAUAAACAUCAUUUUAGGGGUGAUUUUAUGAUCACGAAAAAAGUUGAGUAGGUAGGAAAGGGGGAAAAUAUUCACUGCUCUACCAAACAGAACAAGUACCUGAAAAACAAAAACCAAAGCAAAAGGCUACUUGAUGUGUUAUGGUCACAUAGGCCCAAAUUGCAUUUAAUUUAGCUUGUACCAGCUAACAGCAAUACACCCUUCCCACUCAUAAAUCUCAUAAACAGGUGAGCUGCUAAAUCAACAAAAAAACCCACAAAACUGUCAGCAUCAGUUAAUUUAAACAAUUUUGUCUGCUUAAGUUAAUUUAAACCUGACCAGACUCUGUUUUACUUCUGAUAAACAAAUGAAACCCAGAAGGCAUUCCAGGGAGACCAAGAAUCAUUUUGGGUAUGUGCUUCCCUCAUUUCAGUUUCUUUAAUUGUUCUUUUGGCACAGCUGCUAACAGUCAAAGCAAUGUUUCUAUUGCUUCCCAUGGACAAGUUCCUCAUUGAAAAAGAAGCCAAAUAAAUAGCAUGCAAUUCAGUUCCCUAGCACUUUACUGGAUAUGGCUGUAAAAUACACCAAACAUCUAAGCAACAAAAAAGUACUAUUAUUUUAAUAACAUAAUCAGUGAAUACAGUGAAAAUUAACUCAGAAAAACAGUUACUCACAAUGGUGCUGCUCAGUAAACUCCACAACAAACAUACCUUGACAAGGUAAAUACACUAGACUUAGUCAGCAGGAUUCUUGAAGGCCUCUGGUGUUUUCCUUUAUGAAUCACCCCAAAAUUAGUCAAUUUGCAUAUUAUGGCUGUGAGGGCAAUGCUAGAAGGAAGUGUCACACCUUAGAUAUAUAUUAGGUAAGGAAGUUGGGUACAUAUGUGUAAUGCGGUGAGAGCAGUUCUCCAUGCUGAUAAAAUUAUCUGUAGAUUGUAGAAAACAAUUCUUUCCUUGGAGCAUGGGCUAAAACAAACUAGUGUGCAUUGAGGUAUGUGACUAGAAAUUUCCCCUUUUCCAAUCUGCAAAGAGAAUGCACUUUUCAUGUUUCAGUUAAAUAACAACAAUAGCAAAAUAUGUAGAUAAGUUCCAUGUGAAACAAAAGCUACACUGAAAUACAAAAUGAAGGAAUUGAGAAUAGAGUCAAAGAAUGAGCAGACAUUAUAGAAGUUUUGAGAAAGUACUACCUCGGAAGAAGGGGAGCUUUUUCAUCUUGUCACUUCUUCACAGAGUGAAGAAGUAAUGCAUGGACUAAAUUCACACCAAUCCUUCGUGAUGCUAAAAAUGCAUAGAAACCGCAGGAUUGUCCUCCUGAGGGAAAUGACUUCUGAGAUAAUUUUAAUAAAGCAAAAUAAGCAAGGUUCUUUUUCUUAUUAGUGUUUCAAAAUAAACUGGAAUCCUUAAAUCAGGCUGAUGUAAGCACACACCACAGCACUAAGAACAGAAAGAGGAAGUUCAUGCUUAUCAGUAAGAACUUUGUGCAACAAAUACAAUUAUAAUAGUAUCCUUCAUAAAAAACUGUAAAAUCUAACAAAUAAAUUUUUUUAAGUGCAAGGUUUUAUUUUUCUGCACAAACACCGCAGAAAAAUACCUAAAUAUUUUUUAAAAGAAAUACCUACUAUGCACCAGAUGACGAAGGACAUCUCAAACUUGUGAGGAAAACUAAAAAUAGACAGGCCAAGAAAUGCAAAAACACACGUUUCUGAAAAAGAGAAGUUGCAUUUUAAAUACACAAUUCUGUGAAACCUUUUGUAUUCCCAUUAUAAUAUAUAUGGAGCAUAAAAUAAAUAUUUUCUGAUUUUGCAAUGCACAAAAAGAAAAGUCUUUUUGUAGAGGAACAUGGGAGUCAGAGAUCUCUCCUUGGCUACCAGCCUUGUUGCAAAUCUUAGCAGGAGGCUGCAGAACGGGAAAUGAAGAUUUACUGGAUGCUUUAUCCAGUACAUCAGGAAAGACGACUUGUGGCUGCCUUCCAGCAUCCACUAAGUAGCCUUCUCUUAAAGACAUGUACCGCUAACAUACGAACAGCAGGAGGAAAACUCAUCUCUCUCCUGCUGCCUUUGGAAUCACCGUUUGAAGCAAAUCAAUUUUUAAACUAUAUUAGAUAUACUGUAGGUAGCACGUACCACACAUGAAAGCAACGGUUCUCAGUGUCUGCUGCAUUAAUAUCUGUGUAACAGGGGAGAGGUUAUGGUGCGUAUAGUGGGACAUCACAAUGCCAGAGAACAGGAUUGCCAUGAUUCCUGUAAAUAAAACGCAGUAAUCAAAUAGAGGUUAACUUGUAAACUGCAAAUAUAGUGUUUGCUUACACUCUAUACUAAUACAAAAGCUUUUGAAGCAAUGAGUGAGGUUUCUCUUACCACUGGAAGUUGCACUGAUUUCAUUCUGCUGGAUAUAUUAAAUACUAGGAGGUCCUAAACAGGUCAACUGCAAGCUAAUAUAAAUCCUUGUAGUCACUGCUUUCCCAUAAAAGUGAAGGAACUAAACUGUUUGAGAGGUUUUCCUGCCUUUCCCUAUACUAGCAGGCAGACAGAUAUCAUCAAAAAAGGAGUAAGAACAACUUGAGAGUAGUGGGGCUAGAGGACUGUAUGAUUUUGUUCUUCCAGACAAGUCAUUCAUUCCUACGUGCUGAUCAGUCAGUCCCAAUCACUCCACCAGAAGCAGAAUGAGACCAACAGGGCCUAGGUUGAAACCAUUCCAGUAUGGAGUACCAAGUUAUUAAAAGUUAAGGAGGAAUAGCAAAUGCAGGUUAAGGAGGAAUAGCAAAUGCAGGUUAAGGAGGAAUAGCAAAUGCAGGUGUACUUGCAAUUUGUUAUCAGUAUGAGAACCAGAAAAGGUAUAGAAAUUUGAGAAUUCUGGGCAUAAAUGUCCUUUUAUAAGGUACAACCUGAUGCAUAAGGCCUUUAAAGAAUGCUACUGUGCAGAAUGUCCAUCAUUUUCAACUGACAGGACACAAAGUAGCUACUACAGGUUAUUUCAGAUAUUAAUAAUAGCCAUCAGUUAUGGGGAAAAUUACCAUUAUGCAGUUGAGUUGACCUAAUGACAUGCAUAGUUUGGAUAGAUGUACUGCAACUGGUUCCACAGGCCUAAAAGAGCCAUCUCAGACUUCACUGUAUUCUUGCAUCUUUGAUUGUGUUGCAGUUUUUCCAUCUACCUUGCUUCACAGUGCUGGUUAACUUAUGGAAAUAAUCUGAAUUUCAAGCUAUUUCUCUAACUGCCCAAGACACAUCACAGGUGCUGCCAAUUGUUCACUAUUCAGAGGGAGCUACUUAUCUUAAAGGAAGUUUUAAACAUCUCCAUUGUCUGCUGCAUAGACUUACAUCUGAGAAAGAUAUCCUUUGAGAUGGUAGUAAGGAUUGUGCAAGUAUAGCAAUGUGUUUCAAGAACAAGUACAGUACUCCUUGUCACAAAACCAAUUAAAAAAAAAAAAAAAAAUCAACAACAUAACCCAGAAGGAAUCAACUGCAAAGCAGAUUUCAAGAGGACAAGAUGACAUCUGGGAGUAUACCCAGUUAGCCCAAACCACAGAAAAUAUGAAAGACCAAGACUAUUUGGCUAGAGCUACGCAUCCAGGGGUGGCCCAGAUGAACAAAACUGGAAGGAUUAGACCAGCCACAGUAGAGUGAGAGUAAUCCUUUGUUUCAAACAGAGGUGAACUAAGGCCUUCAGAAUUUGUUAUUUCUUGAGAAUUCAUUCUUGAAGAUGCCUGAGCAAAUCAGAGAGCUUGUCUUCACAAAUAAAAUGACAAAGAACCUCUGUUAUCCCGAGACCAUCUGAUUAAGAAUGCUAUUACUUCUUCACUGUAUACCAGUGCAUGUGUUUGUUAUAUAAUGCAAUAGCACAAAUUCUGUAAUACUUCAUUAUUGUUCUUCAAAUUCAGAAGCAGCGUAAAUUAGAAGUAGAAAAGGCCAUGUGCUGAUGUAUUCCAGCAUGAUCUUUUCACAAGGGAAAAAAACCUGUGUUUACAGCAACAAAUGUUUUAAUACUCAUAUUUCAGAUAAUUUCUUGAUCUAUACACACAAAACCGUUCUAGAUGCAAGUGGGCAGAAUGGAAAGUUUGCAUUAGCAUUGCAUAUCUCAGUUGAGUAAAUACCAUGAUUACAUGCCACAUCUUCAUACAUAAUAAAAAGAAGCCAACAUCAACAAAACAAAAAUCCCCUGAUAUCAGUGAAGGUACGCUGAUGAACGUUACUCUAAAAUAUUUACAACAGCAUGCACACGUUUUCAGAAAAUUAGAAACUCUGAUUUCAUAUCUGUAGAUCAUUUAUAAAAAAAUGUCACAAACUUGUUAUGUUCUCAUUGCAUACACCAAGUUGUAGAGCAAAUAUCUUUUAAUGAACUUAAAAAUAAACCAGUAUGUUUAAAAAAAAAAGAAGAACCAAGCAGAUACAUAUAAGUUACAUUGAAUACUGCAUCCCUUCCCACCUUCCUUUGAGAAAUGAGACAGGAAGCUGACUGCCUUAAAACAAACAAACAAACAAACACCACACUUAAGUCACCAGAGGUCAGAGAUGGUGGGUAUGCAGCAGAACUGUCUCUAUACUUGAUUCUACAGAAUACUGAAAAAAAUUCCCCUGUAAACCUCUUCUGGCCCUCAGCAAAUUUCUGCUAAGUGUCCAGAGAUAAUACCUGCAGUACUCAUGGGUUGGUCUCAACUGACUUAUCCAACGGCACAGAAAGAUGUGCAGAAAGACAGCUACCAGGUAGUAGGUUGGACAUUACUUAAGUUUGCUAACACAGCCAAACUCCACAGCAUGCAGCUGAAAACUGUCUUCUGUGGUAGGCAGAGGUAACUGGAGAGAAUACUAGUUUUGUGUUGAAUAGCUAAUACUUAUGAAAGCUUCAGUUAUCUUUCCUAUGCAUCUGUAACAUUUCAUAAAAAAUAUUUCCCUGAAGUAAGGCAAGGUCAAAAGUACGAGCACAGGUUAAAUAAGAAAACAUUAAAAACAAACAACAACAAAAUAGAGACCCUCUUAGACACAAAUAACAAAUACUCAAACUUAUCAGAGAAAUCUGCAAAUAAUUGCUUUGCUACUCACCUGAGAGUGAGAUACCUUCUGCAAGUCCAUAAGGAAGGUAAGCAAAGAUAAUCAUCAUCCCAAACUCUAGAGAGGGCGUCUUUCUUAAAUCAAUGUGCUUUAGCACGUGCACACAAAAGUGUUAAGGAAAAGGUAAGCAAAAAUUUUUGUUUAUGUAUUUUUUUAAAUUUAUAUCAUUCCGUUAUAAAACAGUGGGGUGCUUGAUGUACUUAUCUGCCAAAUAGCGAACAAAGCCAACAAGUGGCCCCAUGACUCAAGCAUGUAAAGAUUAACCAUUUCUUACAAGGAGUGUUUUUUUUUUUUUUUAAUAGAACUACAGCUUGUAGAAGUCUAUCAGAAUGGACAGACUUAGAAAAGUUCUGCUACUAUGCUACCUAUACAGUAUUGACCGCAGCAUGCCAAACAUCCAGAAGGAAUCUUUCUCUACACAUUCAGUCUUUGAAAUUUCUUCAAAACUACUGUAAAUGUGCCACAGAGAACCGCUAAGUAGUAAAAGCUUUCCAAAAAACAGAGUAGAGGUAUGAAACAGCAAAGUAAAAUAGUAGGGAGCUUUUUUUUUUUUUUUUUAAAU